UGAUGGUGUGAUGCAACUCUUUACCACCUUUCGCCUGACUGCUUGGAUGAUGUGCUUUUUGCCUGACU
rnacentral:snoRNA from 1 species